rnacentral:rRNA from 1 species
UCAAAUGAAUUGACGGGGAGCACCACAACGGGUGGAGCUUGCGGUUUAAUUGGAUUCAACGCCGGAAAUCUUACCGGGACCGACAGCGAUAUGAAGGCCAGGCUGAAGACUUUGCCGGAUUAGCUGAGAGGUGGUGCAUGGCCGUCGUCAGUUCGUACUGUGAAGCAUCCUGUUAAGUCAGGCAACGAGCGAGACCCACGCCCACAGUUGCCAGCGUACUCUCCGGAGUGACGGGUACACUGUGGGGACCGCCGCUGCUAAAGCGGAGGAAGGAAUGGGCAACGGUAGGUCAGUAUGCCCCGAAUAUCCCGGGCUACACGCGAGCUACAAUGGUUGGUACAAUGGGUAUCUACCCCGAAAGGGGAUGGAAAUCUCCUAAAGCCAAUCUUAGUCCGGAUUGAGGGCUGCAACUCGCCCUCAUGAAGCUGGAAUCCGUAGUAAUCGCGUUUCAACAGAACGCGGUGAAUACGUCCCUGCUCCUU